GAUGAACGCUAGCGGGAGGCUUAACACAUGCAAGUCGAGGGGCAGCACGAUCCCGAGUAAUCGGGAUUGGUGGCGACCGGCGCACGGGUGAGUAACGCGUAUGCAACCUACCCUGUACAGGGGGAUAGCCCGGAGAAAUUCGGAUUAAUACCCCAUAAUAAUAUUGAGAGGCAUCUUUUGAUAUUUAAAGUUUCGACGGUACGGGAUGGGCAUGCGUGACAUUAGCUAGUUGGUAGGGUAACGGCCUACCAAGGCUGCGAUGUCUAGGGGUCCUGAGAGGGUGAUCCCCCACACUGGUACUGAGACACGGACCAGACUCCUACGGGUGGCAG
rnacentral:rRNA from 1 species